rnacentral:rRNA from 1 species
AGAGUUUGAUCCUGGCUCAGAAUCAACGCUGGCGGCGUGCCUAACACAUGCAAGUCGAACGAGAAAGCGGGGGCAACUCCGCGAGUACAGUGGCGAACGGGUGAGUAACACGUGACUAACCUGCCUUCGAGCGGGGGAUAACCCCGGGAAACCGGGGCUAAUACCGCAUAACAUCCCAGGAUGAAAUUCCCUGUGAUCAAAUGCGCAAGCAGCUUGAAGAGGGGGUCGCGCCUGAUUAGCUAGUUGGUGAGGUAACGGCUCACCAAGGCGAUGAUCAGUAGCCGGCCUGAGAGGGCGCACGGCCACACUGGAACUGAAACACGGUCCAGACUCCUACGGGAGGCAGCAGUGGGGAAUUUUGCGCAAUGGGGGAAACCCUGACGCAGCAACGCCGCGUGGAG